AACAUGCAAGUCGAGGGGGCGUAGCAAUACGUCACCGGCGGACGGGUGCGUAACACGUGGGAAUGUACCUAGUGGUUCGGAACAACACAGGGAAACUUGUGCUAAUACUGGAUAAGCCCGCAAGGGGAAAGAUUUAUCGCCACUAGAUCAGCCCGCGUCCGAUUAGCUAGUUGGUAGGGUAACGGCCUACCAAGGCGACGAUCGGUAGCUGUUCUGAGAGGAAGAUCAGCCACACUGGGACUGAGACACGGCCCAGACUCCUACGGGAGGCAGCAGUUGGGAAUCUUGGACAAUGGGGGAAACCCUGAUCCAGCCAUGCCGCGUGAGUGAUGAAGGCCUUAGGGUUGUAAAGCUCUUUUGUCAGGGACGAUAAUGACGGUACCUGAAGAAUAAGCUCCGGCUAACUUCGUGCCAGCAGCCGCGGUAAUACGAAGGGGGCUAGCGUUGUUCGGAAUUACUGGGCGUAAAGCGUGCGCAGGCUGCCAUUUAAGUCAGGGGUGAAAGCCCAGAGCUCAACUCUGGAAUUGCCUUUGAAACUAUUUGGCUUGAGUGCGGGAGAGGUGAGUGGAAUUCCCAGUGUAGAGGUGAAAUUCGUAGAUAUUGGGAAGAACACCGGUGGCGAAGGCGGCUCACUGGCCCGUUUCUGACGCUCAUGCACGAUAGCGUGGGGAUCAAACAGGAUUAGAUACCCUGGUAGUCCACGCUGUAAACUAUGGACGCUAGCCGUUGGGUAGCUUGCUAUUCAGUGGCGCAGCUAACGCAUUAAGCGUCCCGCC
rnacentral:rRNA from 1 species